rnacentral:rRNA from 1 species
GAGGAGAGUUCUCGGUCUCGGUUCGCCGUGUACUGAGAGGCUCGAAUCUAUUUUCUGGGGAAACAUGGUGUCCUUUACUGGGCGCCAUGCAGAACCAGGACGAUUACCUUGAGAAAAAUAGAGUGUUCAAAGCAGGCUGUUGCUUGAAUACGUUAGCAUGGAAUAAUGGAAUAGGGCUGCUGCCCCAUUUUGUUGGUUUCUGGGACCGUAGCA